rnacentral:rRNA from 1 species
ACGCACGCUGGCGGCGUGCUUAACACCUGCAAGUCGAACGGAAAGGCCCUGCUUUUGUGGGGUGCUCGAGUGGCGAACGGGUGAGUGACACGUGAGUAACCUGCCCUUGACUUUGGGAUAACUUCAGGAAACUGGGGCUAAUACCGGAUAGGAGCUCCUGCUGCAUGGUGGGGGUUGGAAAGUUUCGGCGGUUGGGGAUGGACUCGCGGCUUAUCAGCUUGUUGGUGGGGUAGUGGCUUACCAAGGCUUUGACGGGUAGCCGGCCUGAGAGGGUGACCGGCCACAUUGGGACUGAGAUACGGCCCAGACUCCUACGGGAGGCAGCAGUGGGGAAUAUUGCACAAUGGGCGGAAGCCUGAUGCAGCAACGCCGCGUGCGGGAUGACGGCCUUCGGGUUGUAAACCGCUUUCGCCUGUGACGAAGCGUGAGUGACGGUAAUGGGUAAAGAAGCACCGGCUAACUACGUG